AUUGAACGCUGGCGGCAGGCCUAACACAUGCAAGUCGAACGAGUGGCGGACGGGUGAGUAAUGUCUGGGAAACUGCCUGAUGGAGGGGGAUAACUACUGGAAACGGUAGCUAAUACCGCAUACCAUCAGAUGUGCCCAGAUGGGAUUAGCUUGUUGGUGGGGUAACGGCUCACCAAGGCGACGAUCCCUAGCUGGUCUGAGAGGAUGACCAGGCCAACUUGGACUGAGACAAGGGCCAGAAUCCCAAGGGAGGCAGCAGGGGGGAAUAUUGCCAAAUGGGGGGAAGCCUGAAGGAGCCAUGCCGCGUGUAUGAAGAAGGCCUUCGGGUUGUAAAGUACUUUCAGCGGGGAGGCGUUACCCGCAGAAGAAGCACCGGCUAACUCCGUGCCAGCAGCCGCGGUAAUAC
rnacentral:rRNA from 1 species